UGGAACUAAUGAAAGCACAUUGGCUUUGGGGCAUAUUGAGCCCUCUCAUAGUCCAUGGAAUACUCCCAUUUUUGUAUUCAAAAAAAAGGCAAAAGGCAAAUGAAUAUUAAUUCGUGAUUAAUGAACCAUAAAGGAGACUAUGCAAAAGAUGGGCACCACUCAACCAUUGACUUGUUGUGUUCCCAAUGACUACAAAAUUCACAUAGCAGACAUAAAGGACUGUUUAUUUUCCAUUCCUCUGCAUCCAUCUGAUAGACAACGUUUUGCAUUUAU
rnacentral:sRNA from 1 species